GAUGACAUAGUUUAAGUUAGGAGAUGGCUGCUCUGCAAGUAGCCGGUGAGGGUUCCUCUGUUGUUG
rnacentral:tRNA from 1 species